AACGAACGCUGGCGGCAGGCCUAACACAUGCAAGUCGAACGCACCGCAAGGGGAGUGGCGCACGGGUGAGUACCGCGUGGAUAUCUGCCUUUUGGUUCGGAAUAACCCUGGGAAACUGGGGCUAAUACCGGAUGGCUCAUACGGGAUAAAGAUUUAUCGCCAAAAGAUGAGUCCGCGUACGAUUAGCUAGUUGGUGAGGUAAUGGCUCACCAAGGCGACGAUCGUUAGCUGGUCUGAGAGGACGAGCAGCCACACUUGGGCUGAGACACGGCCCAGACUCCUACGGGAUGGAGGAGUGGGGGAUAUUGGAAAAUGGGGGCAACGCUGAUGCAGCCAGGACGGGAGAGUGAUGAAGGCCGGCGGGUUGGAAAGCUCUUUUAGCGGGGACGAUGAUGACGGUACCCGCAGAAUAAGCCCCGGCUAACUUCGUG
rnacentral:rRNA from 1 species